ensembl:lncRNA
UGACAUAAUGACAUAUUGGAAAUGUCUGCUUUGCUAAUGAACUCGUUUGAACUCUCAAAGGGGAGCUAGGGCAGAUAUUAUGACUUUUAAUAAUGCUUUAAAUUUUAGUGGAAUAUAGUGCAUGUGUCAUAUGGGCAACAUUUAUGAUAGUUUUACACUCCUUUUGUGCCCUUCUGUAAUCUUGAAAGCAUCAGUCUCACUAAGCUUUUUAAAACUAUAAAUUGUACUAGUAAGUUUAUUUAACACCCCUGACAGUCUAUAUUGUGUCUAAACAGUUGUUAAGACACCAAAUCCAUUGUUAAACCCAGUUCCCUCCCCCAAAAGCAUAUUGGCCAAUCAUCGGGAAGCUGGCGUCUUCACUGGCUCCAGACUGUGAGAUUUCCUAUCAGUAGAUGAAACACAAUACUGUGGGCUGAAACCGACUGUGUUCCUUCCAGGAUCCAGAGCUGAACUCCCAGUAAUGGGUGGUAUGAUUUCUUACAAUGAGUUCAUUCACACAUGAGGUGCAGCCGGCCGACAGCCUGUUUCACACUUCCACCCAGAGCGCUGGAGUCUAGCUGUCUGUGUCUGAGCUCCCACAGUGCAGUGCUGUACCUGAGGCUUCAUCACAGUGUGGGGACAUUCAUCCUGCACUUCAUUAUCAGCGGCAGAUGGGAACAACUGCAUCUCAAUAAACAGCUGUCGACUCAAGAUUGCAUGUGGAUCUGAACACAACCUGGCUGUUGUGGGUGAGUACUACAUAUGUAUUACAUGAGUACAUGAGUAUUACAUAUAUAAAAAAUUGUGUAUAUAUACAAUUAUAUAAUUGUAUAUACAAAAAUUGUAGUUAGUAACGUAAUCCAUUACAUUGCACAUUUUAGGUAAUAUAAUCAGACUACUUUUAGAUUACUUUUAAUCUAUCUUGUUUUUCACAUUGAUUUAAAUAGGGUAAUCUUGCACCAUAUUGAUAUAAAGAUACAAAGAGUAAGAAAAUUAGUUGUUAUCAACAACAUGAAGUGCAUUAAACAUUAUAUUACGUAAAGGUUUCCCAAACUGGGUCUGCGAAGGCACUGCAAAGGGUUUUGUGUGUUUAAUGAAAACUAAUAAUUAAAUCAUAACAAUGUUUAAUUGAAACAAAUCAUUUUAAAAUUAAUCAAAAAACUUACUGAAAAAAAUGAAAUAUUUUAUUUGUUUACCUGCAUGUCAUGUGACUAUAACUAAUGUCAGACAACCAUGAACAUGCAAAUGUGAUACUUCAAAAUUAAAAUAUAUAUAAAAUUGUGCAUUUUAAUGUGUUUGAAAGACAGACACCUUCCAUGCAUGUAAAAAUUUUAGUUUUCAUCAGUAGUUGAUGCAAUGUCGAAACACUUCUUAAACAUGAAAUGAUUUUUGUAAAUCCAGUGCAGCCUGUAGUCUGAUUAUGAGUAUUUUAAAAUGUAAUUUAGUCUAAUUACAAGUACUUAAUUUUUGGAAUCUUAUUAUGUAACCCAGAUUACUGUCCAGCUCUGUAUUUAUAUAUAAAUUUUUAAAUGCUAUUUUCAAAUAAAUGUUUUAAAAAAUCAGGAUAUAUUUGUGUA